AAGAAACAGAUUCAAUAUUGCUAUUUAUUUCAUAAUUAGGUGUACAAAGAAGUGGCCGUAUAAGAAUGCUUCCAAAAAUCAUACAAUGUGUACGCAGAUAAUACUGUUUUUGAAAAGACAAUCGAUGAUUUGAUAACGCUUACCCAUUUCUGUGAUCAUUUUGCGGAAAGAAGCCAUUCUGCAAACACCUGGUUCAAACCUCAAAUAGCCACCUAUAUACUGAGGGAGAGAGUAGAGUAGAGUAGAGUAGAGUAGAGAGUGAGUUCCAGACUUUCUAGAGACAGAAUUCUAGGAAGAGUGCUCGAUGUCUUUUUUUUCUCAUGGUUCGGAGUGUGGGUUUCCUCUAAGCGGUAGUUGGCAGCUCAAUAUUGGUACAUGGGGAUCAAGAUUUGAAAGGCACUAUUAGGUUACCAAAGAGCACGCCUUAUUUUACCUUCAUUGAUUUUGCUCCUCACUCUCUCAUGGCUCUAGACUUGGUGUUUGGUAGAAAAUCUUCAAUUUUCUUUGUACUAAUGGAUACUGACAUAUUUAGUGAUAUAUGGGAUUGUGAUUUCCUUC